AUUGAACGCUGGCGGCAGGCCUAACACAUGCAACUCGAGCGGAGCGGCGGACGGGGGAGUAAUGCCUAGGAAACUGCCUGGUAGUGGGGGAUAACGUCCGGAAACGGGCGCUAAUACCGCAGACUCUCAGCAUCGCCUAGGUCGGCGUAGCUAGUUGGUUGGGGAAAGGCCUACCAAGGCGACGCUCCGUAACUGGUCUGAGAGGAUGAUCAGUCACACUGGAACUGAGACACGGUCCAGACGCCUACGGGAGGCAGCAGUGGGGAAUAUUGGACAAUGUGCGAAAGCCUUAUCCAGCCAUGCCGCGUGUGUGAAGAAGGUCUUCGGAUUGUAAAGCACUUUAAGUUGGGGUGCGUUACCAACAGAAUAAGCACCGGCUAACUUCGUGCCAGCAGCCGCGGUAAUAC
rnacentral:rRNA from 1 species